AACGAACGCUGGCGGCAUGCCUAACACAUGCAAGCCGAACGAGAUCUUCGGGUCUAGUGGCGCACGGGUGCGUAACGCGUGGGAAUCUGCCCUUUGGUUCGGAAUAACAGUUGGAAACGACUGCUAAUACAGGACGAUGACGAAAGUCCAAAGAUUUAUCGCCAGAGGAUGAGCCCGCGUAGGAUUAGCUAGUUGGUGUGGUAAAGGCGCACCAAGGCGACGAUCCUUAGCUGGUCUGAUAGGAUGAUCAGCCACACUGGGACUGAGACACGGCCCAGACUCCUACGGGAGGCAGCAGUGGGGAAUAUUGGACAAUGGGCGAAAGCCUGAUCCAGCAAUGCCGCGUGAGUGAUGAAGGCCUUAGGGUUGUAAAGCUCUUUACCCGGGAUGAUAAUGACAGUACCGGGAGAAUAAGCUCCGGCUAACUCCGUGCCAGCCGCCGCGGUAA
rnacentral:rRNA from 1 species